GUGCUUGCUUCAGCAGCACAUAUACUAAAAUUGGAAUGAUACAGAGAUUAGCACGGCCCCUACACAAAGAUGACACGUAAAUUUGUGAAGUGUUCCAUAUUUUU